AGUUCUCAAGUCUAGUGGUAUGAUUCUCGCUUAGGGUACACCCAAGCACAAUUUGCGAGAGGCCCCGCGUUCGAGUCGCGGCAGGACCC